ACAUGCUAAACACACUCCGACCACACCACUCCACGAUUCAGGUACACACUCUGCACACUUUACUUUACACAUACAUAUAUUUUGGAUUAUGCAGAAUACUGUUUCCGAUAUGAUAAAAUAAAAAGAUUAAAAUGUUUCUAAUCAUGAUUAAUCUCAAUCUGUGAUAUUUCCUGAAAACUUGCAAUUAUUAUAAAAUCAUUUUAAAACCCUGUGUUACUUAAGUCAAUAUGGAAUAUGUGAUGGUAGAAUAUGAGUUUCUUAUUCUUGAUAUCAUUGCUACUUGGAGAAUUUAUUUUAAAAUAUUCAAAAUUCUAGCUACCAUCCUCAGUGUUUUAUAUGCCUGAUAAAACUGAAAAUAUUAAUUAUGAUUACAAAAGCUAUCUACUCUGUAUUGAGUUUGUUCAAAAUGAGUUAGACCCUUGUUGAGAGAUUUAUCAUGCUCCUAAGAUCAAGACAUUUAUUCAGAAAGAUUCACUCUUCCGAAGUAUUAUUGCAUUAGAGGCAUGGGCUAUGCAAAAAUAGAGAUAUUUCGAGGAAAUAAAAAGGAGCAAGUGCUCGACAACCUCGUAGAAAAAAAUAGACAAGUGUCCAGCAGUAGAAUUAGGGAUACAUCGGUAUCCACUUAAAAAAAAGAAGAAGAAAAAGAGAAAAUGAUAGCCCAUGGUCCCUCUAAUAAGCAAUAUGCCAGCAAGAGUUGACAAAGAUUUUAAUUUCCAAAGUCUUUGAUCUAAGAGUAUGACAUUCCCCUCCUCGGAUCCCGUUUUGAUCAGGCAAUAAAUGCAAAGUAAGUAUGCUUGAGAAUUUUUGCAAAUUAAAACAACCUCAGCG
rnacentral:lncRNA from 1 species